rnacentral:rRNA from 1 species
GAUGAACGCUGGCGGCGUGCCUAAUACAUGCAAGUCGAGCGAACAGACGAGGAGCUUGCUCCUCUGACGUUAGCGGCGGACGGGUGAGUAACACGUGUAUAACCUACCUAUAAGACUGGGAUAACUUCGGGAAACCGGAGCUAAUACCGGAUAAUAUAUUGAACCGCAUGGUUCAAUAGUGAAAGACGGUUUUGCUGUCACUUAUAGAUGGAUCCGCGCCGCAUUAGCUAGUUGGUAAGGUAACGGCUUACCAAGGCGACGAUGCGUAGCCGACCUGAGAGGGUGAUCGGCCACACUGGAACUGAGACACGGUCCAGACUCCUACGGGAGGCAGCAGUAGGGAAUCGUCCGCAAUGGGCGAAAGCCUGACGGAGCAACGCCGCGUGAGUGAUGAAGGUCUUCGGAUCGUAAAACUCUGUUAUUAGGGAAGAACAAAUGUGUAAGUAACUAUGCACGUCUUGACGGUACCUAAUCAGAAAGCCACGGCUAACUACGUG